UCCCUCCUAGCUCAGUUCGUAAAGAAUCUGCCUGCAAUGCAGGAAACCUGGGUUCAAUUCCUGGGUUGGGAA
rnacentral:tRNA from 1 species